rnacentral:ncRNA from 2 species
GGGCUCGCGAGGGUCCGUCUGAAGGAAGCGUGGAACGAACCCACGGGCCGACGUACAGGAAUCGGAUUCGAGGCGCCGCGGACCAGGGCGAGCUGGCACGUGACAGCGAAGCUCUUGCGGUCAAAGGGACGCGGCGUAAAUCCGGCGGUUGUGUGGGGACGGCCAUCUGU